GCCUGACUGGCUCAGUCGGGUAGAGCAUGUGACUCUUGAUCUUGGGGUUGUGAGUUCAAGCCACAUGUUGGGUG
rnacentral:tRNA from 1 species